GACGCGGCGGAUGCUUUACACAUGCAGUCGAACGGCAGCACGGACUUCGGUCUGGUGGCGAGUGGCGAACGGGUGAGUAAUACAUCGGAACGUGCCCAGUCGUGGGGGAUAACGUAGCGAAAGCUACGCUAAUACCGCAUACGAUCUAAGGAUGAAAGCGGGGGAUCGCAAGACCUCGCGCGAUUGGAGCGGCCGAUGGCAGAUUAGGUAGUUGGUAGGGUAAAGGCCUACCAAGCCGACGAUCUGUAGCUGGUCUGAGAGGACGACCAGCCACACUGGGACUGAGACACGGCCCAGACUCCUACGGGAGGCAGCAGUGGGGAAUUUUGGACAAUGGGCGAAAGCCUGAUCCAGCCAUUCCGCGUGCAGGAUGAAGGCCCUCGGGUUGUAAACUGCUUUUGUACGGAACGAAAAGGUCCUGGUUAAUACCUGGGGCUCAUGACGGUACCGUAAGAAUAAGCACCGGCUAACUACGUGCCAGCAGCCGCGGUAAUACGUAGGGUGCAAGCGUUAAUCGGAAUUACUGGGCGUAAAGCGUGCGCAGGCGGUGAUGUAAGACAGAGGUGAAAUCCCCGGGCUCAACCUGGGAACUGCCUUUGUGACUGCAUCGCUGGAGUACGGCAGAGGGGGAUGGAAUUCCGCGUGUAGCAGUGAAAUGCGUAGAUAUGCGGAGGAACACCGAUGGCGAAGGCAAUC
rnacentral:rRNA from 1 species